UCAGGCCUAACACAUGCAAGUCGUACGAGAGUUUUUAACUCUAGUGGCGGACGGGUGAGUAACACGUGAGAAUUUGCCUUUAGGAGGGGGACAACAAUUGGAAACGAAUGCUAAUACCCCAUAUGCUUUAGAGUGAAAUGGAUUUUAUCCGCCUAGAGAGAAGCUCGCGGCUGAUUAGCUUGUUGGUAAGGUAAGAGCUUACCAAGGCGACGAUCAGUAUCUGGUUUGAGAGGACGAUCAGACACACUGGAACUGAGACACGGUCCAGACUCCUACGGGAGGCAGCAGUGGGGAAUUUUCCGCAAAGGGCGAAAGCCUGACGGAGCAAUACCGCGUGAGGGAAAAAGGCCUAUGGGUUGUAAACCUCUUUUUUCA
rnacentral:rRNA from 1 species